rnacentral:rRNA from 1 species
AUUGAACGCUGGCGGCAGGCCUAACACAUGCAAGUCGAACGAGAGGCGGACGGGUGAGUAAGGUAUGGGAAACUGCCCGAUGGAGGGGGAUAACUAAUGGAAACGGUAGCUAAUACCGCAUAGCAGCGGCUGGGCCCAGAUGGGAUUAGCUAGGAGGUGGGGUAACGGCUCACCUAGGCGACGAUCCCUAGCUGGUCUGAGAGGAUGACCAGCCACACUGGAACUGAGACACGGUCCAGACUCCUACGGGAGGCAGCAGUGGGGAAUAUUGCACAAUGGGCGCAAGCCUGAUGCAGCCAUGCCGCGUGUAUGAAGAAGGCCUUCGGGUUGUAAAGUACUUUCAGCGGGGAGGCGUUACUCGCAGAAGAAGCACCGGCUAACUCCGUGCCAGCAGCCGCGGUAAUAC